AGCUGCACCUAUAAGACUUGGCCAAUAUCAUGUUGUGAGAGAAAGCGUUGGACUCUGAAUUCAUUUAUUCCUUAUUCAGGAAGACCCUUCUGAAGGAAAUAAUCUGCAUGACUCGAGCAUGAGGAGAAUCUCUGGAAACAUAGCCACCAUCGAAUAGGAACAAGAGGGACUGG
rnacentral:lncRNA from 1 species